GGGCGCCAGCCGGGAAAAGCCCGGCUCACCCCUGGGCCGCUUGGCCGCUGCGCGGGCCCCCAAGCCGCGGAGGGACAGCGAAAGGGGACUGACGCUGAGCUGAGCUCUCCCGGGGAGGGGCGAGCGCGCCUGGGCGAGGUGCGGAGGGAGGGAAGAGCGUCGCGAAGCUCACGGCCAGCGGUGGAUCAUCCGGGCCAGUUUGCGUCUCGGGGCUGCGAGAUGCGCGACGAGGACAAGGGCAUGCUCGGUGGUGGCGGCGACGACGACGCGGGCCUGGCCAACGCCGCGGCGCGGGGACAAGUGGAGACCGUGCAGCAGCUCCUGGAAGCCGGUGCAGAUCCCAACGGAGUCAACGGCUUCGGGAGGCGCCCGAUCCAGGUCAUGAUGAUGGGCAGCGCCCGCGUGGCCGAGCUGCUGCUGCUCCACGGCGCGGACCCCAACCGCGCGGACCCCGCCACCCUCACCCGACCCGUGCACGACGCGGCCCGGGAGGGCUUCCUGGACACGCUGGUGGCGCUGCACCGAGCCGGGGCGCGGCUGGACGUGCGCGACGCCUGGGGCCGCCUGCCCGUGGACCUGGCUGAGGAGCGGGGCCACCGCGACGUCGCCCGGUACCUGCGCGCGGCCGCGGGAGAUUGAUGGCGGGGACACCCAGCCGCCCACAAGGACUUUUCCUUUUUUCCCCAGUUCCCCACCCCAACUUAGUUCAAUGAAGGCUGCAGACGUGGAGCGGCGGAAAGCCUGAAAGCCUGAAAGCCUUCCUGGGCGACUCACUCCCUGCGGGGAAGGAGGGGCAGACCGGGAAUAAGUUGCUGUUUUUUUUUUUUCCCUGGAUCCCGCCCUCGACACUCACUGAGAAGCCAAACGCAGAGAGGUGAGGCAAAUGGAUUUCCAGCGAGAUUUAGGAGAGGAAUAUGAAGUUCCCAAGUGUCGUUUGCUUUUCAGGGUUUUCUGGCAAAAAGUGGCAUGUGAAGAAAUCCUCGACCGACCCCGGGUGCCUGCGGAUCUUCGCCGGGAAGAUGCUGGCGGCGGCGUGGGAGGAGGCGAUGAUUGGCAUUCGGCUGGAGGCAGGUGAUAAGUUCACCCCACUGAUCUUGAAGGAGCCCCCUGUAAGCCCCCACUUCCGGCGUUAGGCCCUGGGGGCUACGAGGGCAGAGCUGAAGACAGGACCAGAAGAGGACCGUGGAUGUGGGCGUCAGUAGGUGCCCAACGCUUUACACGCAGUGCGGUGCCCGGCAAGCCACGUGCACAACGAUACUCACUAGAAGCCCUGAGACUCGUGCCCAGCUCCACGGGCUAGUGACGGGGAAGAGAGGAUGCGGAGCCACCACGAAUUUGCCCACAGGUUCUAAAAUCCCUGGGUCAAGGUGAUGCAGAACAGCUCUCAGAAAGGGGCUGGCGCUUGCUGUUGUUCAGUGGAGGCGAGAUUCCUGUGGUGGUCCAGAUGUCAGCGCACGGAAUGAGGUGGUGGAUUGUAGCAAGAGCAACUGUAGCGGUUAACGAUAGUCAACAGAUUAUUGACAACACAUGGAGUUUUCUUCUGAAGGGUGAGUAUUGGAAAUAUUUAUACCCAAGGGCUCCUCAUUCCAUCUGUGGGUUAUGAGUUGCUAAGCUCUAUCACCUUUCCUAAUGCACAGCAGUCCCCUUCCCAGUCCUCUGUAUUCCCUCCCAACAUGCCACCUGGAGUUAUAAACUAUAACCUUGCCUCAAAUAUUUUGUCAUCCUCUACUACUCUCUAAUCUCUGGCUGCCUUUGAUAGAGUUUUCACAUAUGGAUCUAUUCCAGGAUUUCAGGAGCCUUCUGUUUAAAUCCCAUCCUAAACAGAAUAAUUUAAUGUCAUUCCCUUUCUAAAGAAAAAUUAAAUGACAUCUCAUUUUACAUUCCCCUCCAGGAAUUUAUUACAUCUGUACAAUGACCAUGCUGUCCUGACCAGUCAUUUAAGACCAACAGAAAGGGAAGUGGUUCUGCACGCUGGCUUCAUAUCAGAAUCACCCAUGGAGGUGUUCUAAAAUCGAGAUUUACUGACCAACUUCAGGUCUAAGAAUUAGAAUCUCUGGGUUUGGGGUCCCAAAUUUCUGUGGUUACUUUAAAGUUCCCAUUCAUGGUAAACUUGCAAACAGUACAGAAAAUAAACAGAAUGAGGUAAAAAUCUCCUGAAACCUCCCUACCUUCUCAUUCUCACUACCCAGGGAUAACCACUAUUUUUAAAAAUUUUUAAGUAACCUCCCAGAAACAUGGAUACAUGUAAUUGUAAACACACCUCCCCCAACACAGAUAUUUGGAAAACAUAAAUGGGACCAUACUAUUCUGCAACUUGUUUUCUUGAUUAGUAAUAGACCUUUGACAACUUCCAUUUUCUGGACAUAUAGAUGCUCUUCAUUUUUUAAUGGGUGCAUAGUUUUGUAUUUUAUGGAUGAACCCAAAUGUUUUAAAACCAGCCUCCUGUUGACAAACAUCUAAAUUGUGUCCUUUUUCCUUUCCUGCUCUUUUUUAUACUACUACAUAUGAUGCUAUAAAGAACCUUCUUUGCACCCUUAUAUGAGCUACCUGCAGCAAUUUAUAGGAGUGAAAUUGCUGAGGCUAAGGGUACAUCUCUCUUUCUCUCUCUC